rnacentral:rRNA from 1 species
UACAGAGGUCCCAAGCGUUGUUCGGAUUCACUGGGCGUAAAGGGUGCGUAGGUGGCGGGGUAAGUUUGAUGUGAAAUCUCCGGGCUUAACCCGGAAACUGCAUUGAAUACUAUUCUGCUCGAGGUUUGGAGGGGGGACUGGAAUUCUCGGUGUAGCAGUGAAAUGCGUAGAUAUCGAGAGGAACACCGGUGGCGAAGGCGACAUCCUGGACCGGUAUUGACGCUGAGGCGCGAAAGCCAGGGGAGCAAACGGG